AGGAGAAAAGGUGUUUUUGCAGUUUGCAGCUCCAGAUGCUGUAUGACCUUCUGUUGUUUCUCCAUGAUUUCAGCAUUUGUGGAUAGAAAGGAAAAUAGAACGUGCAGCCUGCAACAAACCUCCCACCCUGGCUAAAAGAGUUCUGCCACUGCACUGUUUCUCAUUGAGAAUGCUGACCAUUAGUCAUCAUCAAUAUGUAUCUGGAAAACAGUAAGUUUUUGCCAGCAGCAGAGCUGCAAGACUUGGAUGUGUUUUUGAAGAACUAAUUGUUCUUGCAUCGUGGUUUUAUAGUCAACGGCAGAAUUGGAGCAACUUACAUGUGGUCAGUUGUAGAUAAGAAAGGCUCAUCCCAGAGCUAAGUGACCUCCCCACCCCCUCCCCUCAGCUGGGCUGGUGGCUGCUCUCCUUUAGAAUGAGGAACGUUCCACCCUGGGCAUGUGAACUAUGGUGCUGGAGUGCAGAGUGAACUCUCCCAUCUCUUGAGCCCAGGUGUCAUCUUACAAGAAACCAAAGUCUUGGAGUGAAAUACAGAGUGAACAAAUUGACUGUGUAGACCAGAGGUGUUUAUCCUUCUGGCUUGCCUGGGCUGCACUGAAUGAAGAAGAAUUGUCUUGGGGUUCCUAUAUGUAGGUUGCACCAAAAGUAAUCCCUUCUAUUUACUUCCAUAAAAACUGCAACUGAUGCAAAGGGCACAACACCACUAUUUGCUAGAGCAAGUUCCCUGUCACUGUUUUUGAGAAACACUAUUUUUCAAUGUAAUCAGCAUGAGCUGUGUGUUUUUGCCAGCCACAAACAAGAGCUGCAAGCUGUGCUCUUCACAAUCUGCAUCGGUGAAGGUGAUCAGUGUUUUCAUUGCUGAAGCAUACCACCCAACGUUUUUUUUGCAUGGAUGAAUUAAAGACCUUUGCUUCACACACGCUUCCAUGUCAGACACCGUUCUGUCAGAGUGCCUCUCUCCUGCCAUGUGUCACACAGUAAUAAAAUGUAAUGGGAUAUUGAUGGGAGAGUUCAACCUC
rnacentral:lncRNA from 7 species